GACGAACGCUGGCGGCGUGCCUAAUACAUGCAAGUCGAGCGAAGCGGCGGAUGGGUGAGUAACGCGUGGGUAACCUGCACUUAAGUCUGGGAUACCAAAUGGAAACAGCUGCUAAUACCGGAUAAUAAAGGAUGGACCUGCGAUGCAUUAGCUAGUUGGUAAGGUAAAGGCUUACUAAGGCGAUGAUGAAUGGCUGAGUUGGGAGACGGAUCGGCCACAGUGGGACUGGGACACGGCCCAAACUCCAACGGAGGGCAGCAGUAGGGAAUCUUCCACAGUGGCCGAAAGUCUGAUGGAGCAACGCGGCGUGCGUGAAGACGGUUUUCGGGUCGUAAAGCUCUGUUGUUGGUGAAGGGUUACUCAACCAGAAAGUCACGGCUAACUACGUGCAAGCAGCCGCGGUAAUC
rnacentral:rRNA from 1 species